GGCCUCCCUCUGUGGGGUGAUCGAUCAUGGGGCUCUGAGAUUUAUCGCCCCACAGAGGGAGGCC
rnacentral:pre_miRNA from 1 species